GGGCAGACCUACGCGUUAAGGCAAGGCCUUGAUGCGGCCAAGGGGGAGUAUGUCAUUACCAUGGAUGCCGACCUGCAGAAUGAUCCGGCGGAUAUAUUGAAAAUGAUCGAAAAGAUGAAAGAAGGCCUUGAUUGUGUUUGUGGUUGGCGUAAAGCCCGCCAGGAUAAACCGCUUAAGGCCAUCCUUUCCAAAACGGGCAAUGUCAUGCAAAGGAUCUUAACGGGCAUGACGGCCCAUGAUAUUUCUUGUACGCUGCGCCUAUAUAAAAAACAUUGCAUCCC
rnacentral:misc_RNA from 1 species